rnacentral:tRNA from 1 species
GCCCGGGUGGUGAAAUUGGUAGACACAGGAGACUUAAAAUCUCCCGAUCAUUGCGAUCGUACCGGUUCGAUUCCGGUCCCGGGCACCA